ensembl:lncRNA
CGCAGCUCUGGGGGCUCGUAGGGCAGGGGGAGGGCGGGGACGCGAGCGCAGCGCCACUCACCCCGGGUGACGCGCUUUCGCCCCUCCCCCGCCGUCUCCACCCUCCUGCUGGAGAACAGAGACAAAACUCCAGGAGGAAGUGUCCCAGGAUCUGCCGGAUCUCUACAAGGAGUGCUCAUGGGGCCUGGAGGGGAGGCCCUCUGGCCUUGGAGCACUGUGGCACUUUCUCUAUGAUGGGUUUGGUCGGAGAACUGUUAAGAGGUCAAGUGACACAGCAGAUCAUCAGUAUACCUCCAGGUUCCAAAUCUGUGUUCUGGCUCAGCGUAGACACGAGGCUCCUAGAGCCGACAGGGACCUUGGUGUGAAGCAUCUCCUGAGCUACUUCCAGCAUACUCAGCAUCUCUGGAAUCUGACUAUUCUACAUGCAAACAGUAUGGUGUGAUGCUGGUCUUGGUUGGCUUGCUUUGCUGAGUAUGGUGAUCUCUGGGUCCACUUCGUGCUUCUCUGGCCCUGCUUCAGCUCCCAGAAGAACUGGGCACAUAGUGGGUGGCCACCAGGUCUUCGCUGGAUGCCUGUGGGGAACCAGUCUUGAAUCCCAGGGACGGGGGAGCCUGGUGGGCUGCCGUCUGUGGGGUCGCACAGAGUCGGACACGACCGAAGCAACUUAGCAGCAGCAGCAGCAGCAGGUCUUAAUUACAGCAUGCAGAUCUUUAGUUGUGGCGUGUGAACUCUGAGCUGUGGCGUGUGGGGUCUAGCUCCCUGACCAGUUACCAGACUGGGGCUCCCUGCAUUAGGAGCAAGGAGUCUUAGCCAUUGGACCACCAGGAUGUCCUAGUUUAUUCUUUUGUGUUUGUGACCUGAGGCUCUAAAACGUACCCAGACUACAUUUCUCCCCCCUUGUUCUCUGAUUCUAUGCCCAGCAGUGGUUUCCAGAUCAUAAGAUAUUAUACAAAUUCAAGUAUAGCAGAGGAGACUAAGCCUGGGAACUCCUGAGUGUCCAGGUGAUCAUUCGGUUGGGGGAUACACCUUGGUUUUUGUGUUGCUUAGAACUGCAUCUUGCUGGUGGUUGAGUAUCAUUCUGGGAUUUGUCUCCUAGGUGGCCAAGCCUUGGGUAUCUCUAAGGAGUUUCAAGUGGAAAACCACGGAAGUGGCUGUAUGCAUUCAGACGGCUGGGUAACCUGCAGGACGGGUGCAGCCUCAGGACCGGCGGCCCAGCCUCCACCGUCCAGCUCAGUCCUUCUGUGUCCCUGGUGAUGUGACACCACAUUCACUCAAUAAGCUCCUUGAGCUUUUCAGUUUUAACAAAAGCCACAGCCUUCCUGGACUUUUCUUUUAUGGACCUAGUACAUAACCCUGCUGUACGUCUGCUGGGAUGUUUUGAAAUUGACAGCCCUCCUGCUUUCUCUUUUAACCAAACUCCACUCCUGUUGGUGAGUGAGGUGGAGUUAAUGAGCCCAUGGACAGCAUGGCAAGUCACUUUUGAAAUGACCCAAAUUCCUUUAAUUUUGUUGUUUUUAAGGAAAGGUCAAAUAAUUGGGGGAAAAAAAACUUUUGAUGAGGAGUUAUACUUAGGGUUUACAAAAAAGCACACUUUGUUGAUAAAAUAUGAACUGUUUGAAAGAUUUAUAAGAGUCUAAAAUCCUGCAUAGCCCUUCAGAAUUUGAAGCAGCAGGAAACCACUGUGAUAUUUUUAAAGCAAGUAUUUAUAAAAGUAAUUGGGUACUCUUGAUGUGGAAUAAGGAGGAAAAAAAUAACGGUAAGGAAGCUAUAUUGGACUUGACAUAAAAGUGAGGUAUGUAAUUUGGGAGCAGAAGGAAGGGCAAGUGACGCGUACACACAGUACCUGCGGGCCUCUCACCCUGCAGAGCUGGAGGCAGGACAGAAUGGUGCUGGAGGGAGGAGGGCUCUGCAGGGCCCACGAGCAGUGCUCAGGUAUUGCAGCUAAUGUCUGAAACUCCAGUGUAAAACUCCGAGGCCCUCUAAAACAGAUUCCAUGCAAAUGGGACAGAAAACACAUGUUUCUGAGAACAUUUUGGUUAAAAUUAAAAAUGUGGCAGAGAUUGUGCCAAUAAUUUACUCGAGAAUAUCCAAACCAGAUGCUGCUAGCCGGUAAUUCCAAGUAAUUUGCCAAAAU